rnacentral:rRNA from 1 species
GUCCACGCCCUAAACGAUGGACACUAGGCGUCGGGGUAUCGACCCCCGGUGCCGCAGCUAACGCAAUAAGUGUCCCGCCUGGGGAGUACGACCGCAAGGUUGAAACUCAAAUGAAUUGACGGGACCCCGCACAAGCGGUGGAGCAUGUGGAUUAAUUCGAUACUAACCGAAGAACCUUACCCAGGUUUGACAUCGAUGGUAAGCCCGUGAAAGCGGGCCCUCUUCCCACAAGGAAGACCUGAAGACACCUGUUGCAUGGCUGUCGU